rnacentral:rRNA from 1 species
UUGGGCUAGUCCGUACGAGCGCACCCUUGUCCUUAGUUACCAGCACGUUAAGGUGGGCACUCUAAGGAGACUGCCGGUGACAAACCGGAGGAAGGUGGGGAUGACGUCAAGUCAUCAUGGCCCUUACGGCCUGGGCUACACACGUGCUACAAUGGUCGGUACAAAGGGUUGCCAAGCCGCGAGGUGGAGCUAAUCCCAUAAAACCGAUCGUAGUCCGGAUCGCAGUCUGCAACUCGACUGCGUGAAGUCGGAAUCGCUAGUAAUCGUGAAUCAGAAUGUCACGGUGAAUACGUUCCCGGGCCUUGUACACACCCGCCCCAUUCCG